rnacentral:rRNA from 1 species
CCAGACUCCUACGGGAGGCAGCAGUGGGGAAUAUUGGGCAAUGGGCGCAAGCCUGACCCAGCAACGCCGCGUGAAGGAAGAAGGCUUUCGGGUUGUAAACUUCUUUUGUCAGGGACGAAGCAAGUGACGGUACCUGACGAAUAAGCCACGACUAACUACGUGCCAGCAGCCGCGGUAAUACGUAGGUGGCAAGCGUUAUCCGGAUUUAUUGGGUGUAAAGGGCGUGUAGGCGGGAAUGCAAGUCAGAUGUGAAAACUAUGGGCUCAACCCAUAGCCUGCAUUUGAAACUGUAUUUCUUGAGUGCCGGAGAGGUAGGCGGAAUUCCUAGUGUAGCGGUGAAAUGCGUAGAUAUUAGGAGGAACACCAGUGGCGAAGGCGGCCUACUGGACGGUGACUGACGCUGAGGCUCGAAAGCGUGGGGAGCAAACAGGAUUAGAUACCCCAGUA